rnacentral:lncRNA from 1 species
AGAGUAUUGAACAUUUGCAGUUAGGCAGACUCCUCUGAGUUGGCUCUCUUUCCUUUAAGGCAAUGUUGGCUACCAAUGGAAUAAUAGUAUUUCGAGAACAAUUUGAUGCUAACAUCAGACUUUGCUAUGAUAAAUAUGAGGCAGAUUAUGGAAUCUAUAAAAAAAUCAGCUCUACAUAGCACAACAAGUGGUAGUUGGUGACAAUUUAAGAUAUUUGUUCUGCUUUUACUUGUCAUUGAUGCUACUGCUCAGCAUGUUUCCUGGGCCUCAAACCCUGCCUGGAGCAACAUGAGGUCUCUGACUAUAGAAAUGCCUCCACAGAAGUCACCACAGCAGAAUCAACCACCAACAAUUCCAGCAAAUGUUUUAAGCAGUGGAUGCCCUAUGCUCAUAUACUAUGGCCAAUUCACCUGAACCACAAGUCUUUGGGGGAUACCGGAGCACCUGCAGGAAACCCAUGCCAACAACAUGCAAACUUCACACAGAAAUGCCAACUGGCUCAGCCAGGACUUGAACCAGCCGUCUUCUUGCUGUGAGGCGAAAGUGCUAACCACUGAGCCACCGCACGACAUCAUGUUGUCAUAAAUAUCCAAGGAUUUUAGGAUUAUGUGUGAUUUGGUAUGGCCAAAAACAUCACCUGAACAGCAACUGGUGGUUGGUGAAGGAUUAAACUUUCCUUUCCAGUCUAAAAGCUGUGAUACACAGUGGACAUUCGGCUGAUAGCCAAUACUGUGCUGUCAUUCACUGAAAAAAAAAUGAUGUCUGCAAAACUGUUGCAAACAAUUUAUUUGUGUUAAAUUUAAACAAACAAAUUAAAUUUAAUAAAAUUCUACUUAAUUUGUUUGUUUUAAUUCAGCCCAAAUAAAUUGUUUACAGCCACUUAACAUAAAAAAAAACUUAGUAAAUCG